rnacentral:snRNA from 1 species
UUCUUGCAGAUAAAUAGACAUAUACCAAAACUGGAAUGAUACAAAGAAGAUUAGCAGGGCUUCUGUGUAAGAAUGGUAUGCAAUUUGGGGAAGCAAUCCCAGAAUAC